rnacentral:rRNA from 1 species
AUUGAACGCUGGCGGCAGGCCUAACACAUGCACGUCGAGCGAGCGGCGGACGGGUGAGUAAUGUAUGGGGACUGCCCGAUAGAGGGGGAUAACUACUGGAAACGGUAGCUAAUACCGCAUACUAUCGGAUAACCCAUAUGGGAUUAGCUAGUAGGUGAGGUAAUGGCUCACCUAGGCGACGAUCCCUAGCUGGUCUGAGAGGAUGAUCCGCCAAACUGGGACUGAGACAAGGACCAGACUCCAAGGGAGGCAGCAGUGGGGAAUAUGGCACAAUGGGCGCAAGCCGGAUGCAGCCAUGCCGCGUGUAUGAAGAAGGCCCUAGGGUUGUAAAGUACUUUCAGUCGGGAGGCGUUACCGACAGAAGAAGCAACGGCUAACUCCGUGCCAGCCGCCGCGGUAAUUC